rnacentral:rRNA from 1 species
UACGGGGGGAGCAAGCGUUGUUCGGAUUUACUGGGCGUAAAGGGCGCGUAGGCGGCGCAACAAGUCACUUGUGAAAUCUCCGAGCUUAACUCGGAACGGUCAACUGAUACUGCUCGGCUAGAGUGCGGAAGGGGCAACUGGAAUUCUUGGUGUAGCGGUGAAAUGCGUAGAUAUCGGGAGGAACACCAGUGGCGAAGGCGCCUUCCUGGCCUGUAACUGACGCUGAUACGCGAAAGCGUGGGGAGCAAACAGG